rnacentral:rRNA from 1 species
CCUGCAUGAAGCCGGAAUCGCUAGUAAUCGCGGAUCAGCAUGCCGCGGUGAAUACGUUCCCGGGCCUUGUACACACCGCCCGUCACACCACGAGAGUUUGUAACACCCGAAGUCGGUGGGGUAACCGCAAGGAGCCAGCCGCCUAAGGUGGGACAGAUGAUUGGGGUGAAGUCGUAACAAGGUAGCCGUAUCGGAAGGUGCGGCUGGAUCACCUCCUUUCUAAGGA